AGUGAACGCUGGCGGCAGGCCUAACACAUGCAAGUCGAGCGGCAGCGGGUUCCCGCGAGGGGAUGCCGGCGAGCGGCGGACGGGUGAGGAACACAUCGGAAUCUGCCUGGUUGUGGGGGAUAACGUAGGGAAACUUACGCUAAUACCGCAUGAGACCCUGAGUCGACGGACUGGGGGUGAAAGUGAGGGACCUUCGGGCCUCACGCGACCAGAUGAGCCGAUGUCGGAUUAGCUAGUUGGCGGGGUAACGGCCCGCCAAGGCGACGAUCCGUAGCUGGUCUGAGAGGAUGAUCAGCCACACUGGGACUGAGACACGGCCCAGACUCCUACGGGAGGCAGCAGUGGGGAAUCUUAG
rnacentral:rRNA from 1 species